rnacentral:tRNA from 1 species
AUACGACGAUUAUUGCGAUGAGUGUUCACACAGAUUGAUAUGGUUUAGAUUAGAGCAUCUAGUGGGUCUGUAGCUCAGGUGGUUAGAGCGUACGCCUGAUAAGCGUAAGGUCGGUGGUUCGAGUCCACUCAGACCCACCACUCAACGAUGGGGUUAUAGCUCAGCUGGGAGAGCGCCUGCCUUGCACGCAGGAGGUCUGCGGUUCGAUCCCGCAUAGCUCCACCAUCUUUAAAGGUUUUUCCUUAAGAAUCUUUAAAAAUGGUUUUCAUUAGAAAAUCUUGCUCUUUAACAAUUUGGAAAGCUGACAAAACAACAAUUUAUUGUUGUUUGUAAAGUUCUCAAUGUUUGUCUUUAUGACAAACACCAACAAACACAUUCAAGUGUUCUUGGGAAUGUCACUGUUAAGUGACUAUUCGAAAUUGAGUCCGGCAAAAUCAACGCUAUCUCGCUCAUUCAAAUAAUGAGAUAGCAACUUUGGUUGUUUGACCGUUUGUCUUCACUUUUUAAAGUGAAAGCAAAUAGAAGACCCUUUGGGGUUGUAU